UUUCCGUAGGUGAACCUGCGGAAGGAUCAUUCAUAAUAAAGUGUUUUAUGGCACUUUUUAAAAAUCCAUAUCCACCAUGUGUGCAAUGUUAGAUCUCGUCAAUCUUGGCGAGGUUUUUAUACAUCAACUCAUUCUUUAACUAAUUUGUCUGAAAAAUAUUAUGAAUACUUAAUUCAAAAUACAACUUUCAACAACGGAUCUCUUGGCUCUC
rnacentral:misc_RNA from 1 species